GUCUAGGGUUACAGGCUUAACCACCAAUACUGCCACCACCACCACCUCCAUCAAAUGAAAGACCCCCAGAGUGGGGAGACCCUCACUCAAGUCUCAGGAUGACACGACCCCCCCAAGAACUCACGAAAGACA
rnacentral:pre_miRNA from 14 species